rnacentral:rRNA from 1 species
ACGAACGCUGGCGGCGUGGCUAAGGCAUGCAAGUCGAACGGACCCCUGGAUGGGUAACUUGAAAGGGAGUCAGUGGCGAACGGGUGAGUAAUGAAUGGGUAACGUCCCCCGGACUCAGGGAUAGCGGCGGGCCGCAAGGUCCUUUGCGAAAGUGUCGGUAAUACCUGAUGAUCCCGCGUGAUCGCAUGAUCGUGCGGGCAAAGCUCCGGCGGUCUGGGUUCGGCCCAUUUCCUAUCAGCUUGUUGGUGAGGUAACGGCUCACCAAGGCUGCGACGGGUACCGGGUGUGAGAGCAUGACCCGGCACAUCGGAACUGAGACACGGUCCGGACACCUACGGGUGGCUGCAGCAACGAAUAUUCCGCAAUGGGCGAAAGCCUGACGGAGCGACGCCGCGUGCAGGAUGAAGUCCUUCGGGAUGUAAACUGCUGUCGGGGGUCAGAAAUCACUGAUCAGCCCCACAGGAAGCCAUGGCUAACUCUGU